rnacentral:rRNA from 1 species
GUGGGGAAUAUUGGACAAUGGGGGGAACCCUGAUCCAGCCAUGCCGCGUGUGUGAAGAAGGCCUUUUGGUUGUAAAGCACUUUAAGCGAGGAGGAGGCUACUUUGGUUAAUACCUAAAGAUAGUGGACGUUACUCGCAGAAUAAGCACCGGCUAACUCUGUGCCAGCAGCCGCGGUAAUACAGAGGGUGCAAGCGUUAAUCGGAUUUACUGGGCGUAAAGCGCGCGUAGGUGGCCAAUUAAGUCAAAUGUGAAAUCCCCGAGCUUAACUUGGGAAUUGCAUUCGAUACUGGUUGGCUAGAGUAUGGGAGAGGAUGGUAGAAUUCCAGGUGUAGCGGUGAAAUGCGUAGAGAUCUGGAGGAAUACCGAUGGCGAAGGCAGCCAUCUGGCCUAAUACUGACACUGAGGUGCGAAAGCAUGGGGAGCAAACAGGAUUAGAAACCCCAGUAGUCC